GUGUUCGCUUCGGCAGCACAUAUACUAAAAUUGGAACAAUACAGAGAUUAGCAAGGCCCCUGCACAAGGAUAACAUGCAAAUUUGUGAAGUGUUCCAUAUUAAA